GAUGAACGCUGGCGGCGUGCCUAAUACAUGCAAGUCGAGCGCUGAAGGGUGGUACUUGUACCAAUUGGCUGAGCAGCGGACGGGUGAGUAACGCGUGGGGAAUCUGCCUUUGAGCGGGGGACAACAUCUGGAAACGAAUGCUAAUACCGCAUAAAAACUUUAAACACAAGUUUUAAGUUUGAAAGAUGCAAUUGCUUCACUCAAUGAGGAUCCCGCGUUGUAUUAGCUAGGUGGUGAGGUAAAGGCUCACCAAGGCGAAGGUACAUAGCCGACCUGAGGAGGUGGACCGGCAAAUUUGGAAUGGAGACACGGCCCAGACUCCUAGGGGAGGCAGAAUAGGGGAACAUUGGCAAUGGGGCGAAAGCCUGACGAAGCAAUGCGGCGUGGGUGAGGAAGGUCUCCGGACGGUAAACCCCGUUGAUUGGGGAGGAAGUUGGGUAGAGUGAAAAGCUCAUCUAGUGACGGUAACUACACAGAAAGCAACGGCUAACUACGUG
rnacentral:rRNA from 1 species